rnacentral:lncRNA from 1 species
GAGGCCUCCGUGUUUUAACCCCAAGGCGCCCACACCGAACGCUAAGGUAACAGACGCUCUGGACCAGGCGGCGCUUGAAACUGGGUGCAGCCCCCUCCCCCCACUCCCGGACCCUGCCCUCGAGACCUGUGAGGGGAGGCGACACAGACACAAGGCAGGCAAUAUGUGACAGCGAGAUGAGAAACCACGGAAAAAGAAGGACUGAAGAAAGGAGGCCCUGCUUUUCGGAGGUGAUGGCCUCGAGUCAGGUGGUGAGGGACGCAGUAGGAAUUGGCCAGGAGGAGAAAGAAGCAAAAUCCAGGCAGUGGAGAGAACAAGUGCAGAGGUUCAAGGGCAUAAAACGUUCCAGCAGAUUCGGGCCUGGAAGGACGGGAGAAAGAACCGUCCUUGUGUGGAGCAAGGUUUAAGGGUCCAGUUCAUGCAGAAACUUCAGGCCCCUGAGAGUAAAGGCAUGCGGCUGAUUUCAUCUAAGAAGCCCCUGGCUCAGAGUGGGGAAGAGGCUUGCUUGAGACUGCACGGGAGAGGAUGGCUGAGCUGGCCACCAACGCAGUAUCCUGACCGAGUUCUGCUGAUCGUUCUGUACCCUGUUGGGCAGCCCCUGGAGCAGCAGCAGCAUCUCUUGCAGGUGCACUUGACAGUGAAUCAUGAGUUUGCAGGGAACUGUCCAGAGCUCUGCAGACAGGCUGGUGUGACGAAUGAAAGGAGGGACUCACUGAGGCCAUGCAGGCCAUGGAGGUGACAGCUCUGGCUUUGCCGCCUUAGUGACAUCCGGAUGUGCUGUGAAUGAAUUUCCAUCGGACACACGGAAGGAUGCGGCAGCAGUCACCCUGAGACAAAUUUACAGGUUUCUUUUUAUGCUUCUCCUUAAAGAGUUAUGUCUGUAAUAAAUGACCCACCAAAGAUUACAAAUUAAAUAAUAUAGAACUUAAA